rnacentral:rRNA from 1 species
CAGUCGCCACGGUAAUACAGAGGGUGCGAGCGUUAAUCGGAUUUACUGGGCGUAAAGCGUGCGUAGGCGGCUUUUUAAGUCGGAUGUGAAAUCCCUGAGCUUAACUUAGGAAUUGCAUUCGAUACUGGGAAGCUAGAGUAUGGGAGAGGAUGGUAGAAUUCCAGGUGUAGCGGUGAAAUGCGUAGAGAUCUGGAGGAAUACCGAUGGCGAAGGCAGCCGUCUGGCCUAAUACUGACGCUGAGGUACGAAAGCAUGGGGAGCAAACAGGAUUAGAUACCCCCGUAGUCCCUGUCUCUUAUAC